rnacentral:lncRNA from 1 species
UGUGUAAACUAUUUUAUGUAUAAUAAAUACUAUAUAGUUACUAAUUUUCUACCUCUUCUUGUAGGAAAAAAGACUGAAAGAAAGGGAAGCCAGAAGAGAAGCUAACAAGAAACAAGCCAAGGCCAAAGAUGAAGAGGAGGCCUUUCUCGACUGGAGUGAUGAUGAUGAUGAUGAUGAUGGAUUUGAUCCAAGCACACUUCCAGAUCCAGAUAAACACAGAAGCUCUGAAGAAUCAGAUAGUGAAGAAAUUGAAGAUAAGAUUAGUGAUACCAAGAAGAAGCAGGGAAUGAGGAAAAGAAACAACAGUGAAGUAGAAGCCGUGGGACCAAGAAGUCACCAUAGAAAGAAGGCCAAGUGGGAAACCUUAGAGCCUUUGGAUACAGGCCUGUCUUUAGCAGAGGAUGAAGAACUGGUGUUACAUCUGCUCAGAAGUCAAAGCUAAAUACUUCCUCCUGCUGUCUGCUCCUUGAUACCUCUGAAUGUCACUAUGUGGGCAAAAAGUUAAAAAAAAAAAGUAACAUGUUGGUGCAUUUUAAGUACCAUGAGUUCCAUUCCCAAAUGACAUUCUCCACACAGAAACAAUCACAUUUCUGACCCCCUUUUCACAGACCAUGCUUUGCACCAUCAUGGAGGAUACUCAGAGUCGGGAUGGGUUACACAGUUUCCUGAUCCAAUUUUGACAUAUGUUUUAUAUCUCCAAAGAGACCAGCCCUGAGAAAGACAAGUAUUUUUUUUCAUUGAGAUGAUCAAUAAUAAACAUUUCCUAUAAAGUAUUAAUAUGUUCAUUGUGUUCAGUAAUAUAAGAGUAUCCUUAUGGGUAGGUUCCUGAGAUUAAAACAUACGGCCAAUUCCUGAAAUGGUGAUUUUUUUCAUAUUGUUAGAUUAGCCAACUCAAACAUCAUAUCAUUUCACUCAUACUACAGAGUUGCUAAAAAUUAUUUCUAAAAUCUAAAAGUUCUCAAACUUGAACUCAUGAACACAGGCUUGUAGCUCUCCUGCAAGGUUCUCUGUUCAUCAGGUGCCAUCAGUCCCCACCCAAACUCAGCUCCUGAUAAUGAGGAAAAAGCAAAUUUGGUACAAAUAAUUGAAAGAUUCUUUAGAGGGAGAGAAUAUGGUGAAGAAAUCUGGGUCUUGGUAUGAAAUUUCUGUUUGAAACAUAGAUUUCUCAUCUCUCACAACUCUGUUCCUUAUGUCUUUCCUUACCCCAUGCACAAACAAAAAUAAUUUUCAAUCAUGAAUAAACUCAAUCAUGAAUCCAAGAAGAGUGUUGAUGUCACUAGACCUGGAUAUCUCAAACACUUUCAAUUCAGCCUGUUUGUCUCCUGUUGUAUUCAGUAUCCUCAUGAGUGGCACCAGCAUCUUUCCACCAUCAAAAUGAGAAACUUGGUGACUACUUAGCUUCUUCCUUUUCUCAGUCUGUUCUUUACUGGAUCACAUUCUCCAAUCUAACCUUUCCAAGAAUUCUCUUUAAAGCCAGUGAAUCUAAACAUGUUUCUUCCUGGCUAUUUUUCCUGUUAAAAUGCUUUUCACGUGAUAGUAUAGCCAUUUGUUUAUAAGACACUUGCUCCUGUUAUAUGACAAGCUUCUGGAGAGUGCAAAGACCAUGUUUUGUCCAUCUUCUGUAUCCCCAGGGCCGCAUACAGCACCUGCCCUGUUAUUGGCUUAGUGAAUUAAUGAGUGACAGUACUAAACCGAGACAUUUUAAAGCUGUGUUAUAGCACAUUGCUCUAUCACUUCUGUUAGAAAGGAAGGAGUGAUGGAUAUGAAAACUAGAUGGAAUGGCUAUUAUGGGAAAGAAACAGGUAAAUAGAUGGGAAAGGUUUGGGGGUAUAACAACUUGAAAAGAUCUUGAAAUCGGAGUUUCUGAUAGAGUCUCUUGGCCUUGAAUGUUUUUAAAGAUCAUGAAGUUGCAAGAAUGUGUAAACUGCAAGUUUAUCAUUGAAUUAACUCUGUACAGUUUUAGAUUGUUUUUCCUGAUACAAGUAAGGAAUUGAGGUAGUUUACUCCCUGUAUGCAAAUGUUGAAUAAAAAUAUUGCAAGGGCUUUAGUUUGAGUUGUAUUCUUUCCCUGGAACUGAACAGAUCCUGACUAAACUGUUAUAGAUCAUUUUAAUUUGCUGAUUUUUUAAAGUAGUUAA